rnacentral:rRNA from 1 species
GAUGAACGCUGGCGGUGUGCCUAAUACAUGCAAGUCGUACGCAUUCUCGUUUCUGAUUGACGGUGCUUGCACCUAAUUGACGAGACAUUGGAAUGAGUGGCGGACGGGUGAGUAACACGUGGGUAACCUGCCCAGAAGCGGGGGAUAACAUUUGGAAACAGAUGCUAAUACCGCAUAAAAGUCAAAACCAUAUGGUUUUGAUUUAAAAGAUGGCCUUUGUGCUAUCACUUCUGGAUGAACCCGCGGCGUAUUAGCUAGUGGGUAAGGUAACGGCUUACCAAGGCAAUGAUACGUAGCCGAACUGAGAGGUUGAACGGCCACAAUGGGACUGAGACACGGCACAUACUCCUACGGGAGGCAGCAGUAGGGAAUCUUCCACAAUGGGCGCAAGCCUGAUGGAGCAACACCGCGUGAGUGAAGAAGGGUUUCGGCUCGUAAAACUCUGUUGUUAAAGAAGAACGUAUCUAAGAGUAACUGCUUAGGUAGUGACGGUAUUUAACCAGAAAGCCACGGCUAACUACGUGCCAGCCGCCGCAGUAA